GAACUACCCCCACUAACAAGAACAGGACAGAUGUUGGUGACUUCCCAGUGAAUGUUUCUCCAUUACUGAAAGAGACGAAUGCAUCUGACCCCAAAGAACAUUUAAUAUAGGGGGGGGGACAAAAGAGCCAGUAGAUGUGACGGACGGGGUGAAAACAGAUGAACACGAAGCUGAAGGAGGAGGAGAAAGCAGCCUCUUUUCCGACCCUAAUAUUUUGUACAGCUACGUCCAAGUGGACAUCUUCACCUCUGAGAUUUUCAAAGAAUGAGGAGGAGAGGGACAAGGCCAUGAAGAUGGUGCAUGGCAUGCAGUGGAAAGGCCGGGUGCUCACUGCACCUGGCCAAACCCAAGGCUGACCCUAUCCUCAAGAAGAGGGGUUGGGAUGAUGCCGGGCAACCCCCUCUCCAAGCAGCAGGACCCAGAGCAGGAUGUGGCACCCCUCAGUGUGCAGAUUGCCAACGUGGUGGUGCCACUGUGGAACGUACCUUAUGAUGAGCAGCUGAGGAGGAAGAAGCAGGAGGUGGAGGGGGUGCUGCAGAGACUGGUUAGAUAAAUGGGCAACACCAACAAAGCGAUGCUGCUCUGGCUGUUUGUUCAGAAGAAGCUGCCCUCUGGAUGACAUUCACCCAUAUCCAUCUCAGGCUGUUAGGCCUAUAUGUGGCUGCCUGACCUGGCAACCUUGGAUGAACCUUUGCAGUUGCUGAAAGAAGCUGAAAUUAAAUCCAGAUGCACUCUGACAUUUUGGUCAUCCUAUUGAAUAAACUGAAUACAGGAACAAGUGUGAAUUCGUCAUUGGUAUUGGAGCGAAUGGAGAAGAUGAUAAGACCAUAGGCUUCAGACUGGGGAAGUACAAAGGGGGCUCCUGUGGUAGUGUUUCUUAGAUUAGAACGCAUAAAUGUGUACAUUUCUUUACCACAGCCCAAGCUUGUGUAUAACUGAACAAUGUGAAAAAAGUGAAAGUGACUCCUUUCAAAUCCUGUCAGUCAUUUAACUGUUUAUUAGGGAUUCUCUUGCCCUUUUUCGACUCUGCAGAAAUCAAAUACCCUGAAGAGCCUCUGUGAAAGAGUAUUUCACAGAGGAUGACAAAGAGUGAUGUAACCGCUCUGUACUUUUUUUCAGCGAGACAAAGGCAAUCCCCUAACCCAGAGGACUUGACGUGUGAGCUGGUAGCUGGAGAGGAGUGUAUUCAUGAGGAGCUUCUGGGCCUGGAGUUCAGGAUAUCCCCUUAUUACUUUUUCCAGGGGGUGAGGAAAGUGAUUGGCAUAGAGAUGUUUCAGGAAACAGAGAAGGACGCCAAAGUCAAUGGGCUGAUUAACAUUGAGUUCCAUUGUGGAAAGGCUGCUGAAGACAUUUCAAAUGGUGCUCAGCACUGUCAUAUCCCCAAACGUCACAGCCAUCGUGGACCCACCCAGAGCAGACCUACAUCCCAAGGUCAUUCUGGCAAUCAGAGCAUGUGAAGAGGCUGGUUUAUGUGGCAUGCGAUGCUAAGGCUGCCAUGAACAACUUUAUUGAGUGAGUCUUUGCAGGGCUCCCUCUAACGGUGUACGUGGAGCUCCUUUCCAUCCGGUUCGGGCCAUGGCUGUGAACCUCUUCCCCUAGACUACACACUGAGAUGCUGCCGCUCUUUUAGAUGGUGAACUAGUUUCCAGAGCACCAGCAACAAACUGGAAGACGAGGCUGAGGGAACCAGCAACAAACCGGAAGAGAUUUUCAUUUUACCUUACCUGAAAUAAUGACAACAGGGUAUGUUUUGUACUUACUGUACAUGUUCUAAACAGAAGCAUUGUCAGCAAAGUCCAUGGGGAAGUAGAUAGUUAUCUACCACAUAGUGCCUUCAGAAAGUAUUCACACCCCUGGACUUUUUCCACAUUUUGUUAACAAGUGGGAUUAAAAUGAGAUUAGUCAUUUUCUGUCAA